CCUACGGGAGGCAGCAGUGAGGAAUAUUGGUCAAUGGGGGCAACCCUGAACCAGCCAUGCCGCGUGCAGGACGACUGCCCUAUGGGUUGUAAACUGCUUUUGUUAGGGAAUAAACCCCACUACGUGUAGUGGGCUGAAUGUACCUAAAGAAUAAGGAUCGGCUAACUCCGUGCCAGCAGCCGCGGUAAU
rnacentral:rRNA from 1 species